CAUACUCCCAUGGCACGACACAGGGGUCACCACCAUACCAGUCAAUGAGCAGACGCCUUGACUGAUCAGCACAUCAUGCUGGUCACCAGGCCUAAAAAGACACAAAAGGACAAUUAAACUCAACGUUCUUAUUUA